CAGAUUUGAUACUGGCCCUCUGGGUGAGCUUGGAUAUGUCUCUCCAGUUUUGCCUUGCCUUUUCCCUAAGUGGAGUAGUAUAGCCAAACUGGCCUUCCCUGCAGAGUACCUUGGGAGGUAAUGUUGAGGGCCAGUUGAAAACUGUUGCCAUUAUCUUUGUGGCUGGCACAGGGCAGCCUUCCUGAUGCAUGUAAUUCUUAAUGCAUGAAGAAAUGUCAAGAUCAGUGCAAGGACUGUUUAGAAAUGUGCUGGUGUUUCCAGUUCAAAUAGUCAAAGGGCCACACAUCCAAAAAAAUACCACCUGACUAGAUUUGUGCUCUGCCAGACUUCCUGAAGGGUCCAAGUCAAUUAAUCUAGAUUACUGAACUUCCAGUUCAGUGGGCAGGACAGGGAGCAGUCAAAGAGAGAAGGACCUUAACAAGCACCAUAUGACUUGCCCUCCCCACCGAGAACCACUGUGCAACAGCUUUCCCGGUGUUGUGCUCACUGUUGGCUGUAACAAAGAUGUUGUGCUCUUAGGUGCUGGGAGGUGUUGGACCACAUCAAUCCUUAUAGUUGCAGCUCAGGAGCAAAACUAGGUAGAACUCUUCCCAUGUGCGAUGUUGGGAUACCCACACAUCUGGCAUCUGCCACUGAGAGUGUCCACUCCAUGCUAGAAGUGAAGAGGUUGACCCUUAACCCUGGCAAUGUUGCUAAAAGCUGCAGGGUCCUGAACAGAAACUGUCAGUGCUUCCUAAGCACUGGGGCUUCAGAAGUUGUACAUGGUUAUUUACAGUGGAGCAAAUGUUCAGUCUUCUUCCUAAGGAAGAGAGAUGCCUUCUGCUGCUGGAGCCAAGUGAUGUGCAGCAUGCUGUGUUAGGAGACUCAGUGUAGACAGGUACAUGAUAGUGUUCAUUGAGAGGGAUUGUUUGAAUUAAUCUAAGUUCAGUAGACCAACAGUUCGUGGUGGGGGAAAAGGCGAGCAGAUCCCUGUAGCUGUUCAUCAUGCUCUUGUGGUUUAAAACAAACAAGCUGAAGCGACAGAAGAAGAAAUACAUUUGGGGAAUGCCAGAUGCACAUUUGACAAAGAAAACUUGUCCUGUUUUAGAUAACGGUGUUAGGAAGCAGCAACAGGAAAAAAACAAAAACCAAACAAACCAAAAAACCCAACAAAUUCAGAUUUGUAAAUAAGCCCUGCUUGGCUGUCAGGGCAGGGUUGUCUAGGUGAGCUUUUUGAAGUCAGGCUGGAACAUGCCCAGCAAACCUCUUGUGAUUAUGGAGCGCAGUGCUUUAAAAGGCAAAUAGGUGACAUUUAACUUUUUCCCCCCAGCUUUUAAAAUAUUCUAGUUGCUGUAGACUGCAGUUAAAUUGCUGAGCUCAAAAAGAAAUUAUUCCUGUAAAAUGCAUUUCCCAUCUUUGACACAGAAACUGGAUAAUUCCUCCUCAAAGUCAUUGCAGAGGAGAUGAUUGUAAGCAGUAGGAAAAGUUAAAAAGUGAACUGUAAAAAUGAUAGUGUUUUUUUCAUUUUUCAUUAUUUAUUGUCCAUUUCCAUGUAUACUUGUAAAUGGAUUUUUCUUUAAGUCUCAUCUGCGGUUAGCAAAUACAGUUUUUCACUGUGGUUUUAGUCAUUAAACAUUUGUUGAGCUUGGUGUACUCUUGGUGAGACUGCUGAGGCAUGCAGAUUAGUUUACUGAGAAUUUGUCAGAUGCUUAAGUUUUAAUUAAUGCCAUUUUAUUCCAUUGCUUUACAAAUUCCAGGCAUCUCAGGCACCCAUGUGAAAACACCUAUUUUGGAGGCUGAGAGAAAAAUGUGAUCCUGUUGUGAAUGCCUAAGGCUCCUGGACACCCUUGGGAUAGGAUCAUCUACUAAGCAGUACUAAAUCCAGAAAAUUUGACUGUCCCAUCUUGCCAUGAGAAAACCUGCUCUGAAGCGGCACUGCAUUGAAUGGAUAACCCUGUGAACAGCUUUUUCAUUCUGCUUUUUGGUAUCCUGUGUUUCCAGCUACAGUUAUAGCUGGGAGGUGCGAGACAGAGUUUGACUGCCAUGAUCCUUUAGUGUUAUGCUGCAGGGACGCAAGGUUCCCCGUCCCACCCUCAGACCAGACACCUGUGACGUUCCUAGUCUCCUUUUCAAAAGUCUUUGAGGCAGAAGCAACCCAUGCUGUGACAAAACUAUGAAAUGCUGUUUUGCAGAGUUGGGUACUUUCCAAAUCAGGCCACACAUUUUGCAGCCUUUUGGGGAGCUGUGUUAAAAAAUAAACAAAAACAAAAACAAAAAAACACCCCAACAAACCCCAAAAAACCAAAACCCAACCAAAAGCAUUUUCAACCAGUGUCUCCCAAUCACAGAGAGAUGGUAUCCAGCUUGUCAGAAACACUGGUUACUUUUGCAGGGCAAAGGCAGUAUAUACACCUAAUCUCAAGCAAUCUUCCAUCUUGAUGCUUGUUUAAACUUCCCCAGUAUUGCUUUACUCGGGCUCUGGGACAUCACAUCUGCUCUGAGAGUGCAGUUAUGAAGUCCACAUUUCUCCCCAGAGAAUGACCAGAAAUCCCCAUCAUGUGUUCCCAGCAUCCAAUAUCUAGGCUGCCUAGAGGGGUCAACCAAAGAAGUGGUCUCAGAAAUUUCUCUGAAAGAGCUGGUCUCCAGCUUAUGCUUUUUAGAGGAUAUUUUUAGUGCAUAUAGAAGCAGUAUGCCUGGCCUCUCCUCUCUCCAAGUGCUCUCCCAGCAGCAUAGGUACAAUACAGUGAAUUGCUUCACCUGGAGCAUCACUGUGUGGGACCUGAACAUCUGCUUCAGAAAGAACAGGCUUUGUCAGCCUCCAGAGAAAUGAUAUCACCUAAGUAGAGCACCAGUGCACAGGGCAUGAUACUGUAGGAAGGUAGGUCAGAAAGCCAGUGCCACACACAAUGGUCACCUGUUGGCGACUGUGUCAAGCAUUGCCUCAGUGCUGGGAGUAAUUAGAAAUGCUGGUUUCCUUUUCCACCUACAUUUUGCUGUUUGAGGAACUGUCCAUCCCAUUGUUUUAAGGGCAAGGGCAGGUUCAAGGGAAGUGUGUCCAGGUGCCAUGUGGGAGUAUCCACCCUCCUGUUGGCAACAUCCAGUUGAACAGUGAAAGGAGGUAGGCUCAGCCCUGCCUGAGAGAAGGUACCUUGCUCAUCUGUUUUGUUAGCUGCAUUGAGGCUGUAUUUUAAUUAUUAGAGCACUUCCCUUAGCAAAUGCAAGCCACACUUUCCUAAAUGCCACACCAUUGACCUGACUUUGAUCCCAUGGCCAGGGGAGCAAAUUUAGGUCAUCCCAAAGCAUUCUCUGUCCUCCCCUUUGAACAACAAACUACUCAGUCAAAAUUAGAAAAGUAUAAACAAUGCGGGACUUCCUGUGGUAUCUUCUGUUAAAUCCAUGCUGGGAAUCAGCUGAGGUACAGGCCAGAGGUUUAUUUGGACCAAGAAAAAGUACGUAACACUUCCAAUCUUUGCAUAGCUACAAACUAUAAGGGCAGGAUUUUUCUCUGACAUAAAUUGCUGCAGUAAGUAGCCACUCUGUAGAAGUGAUCCUCUGUGUAACUCACCUAAAUGAGACCAGCACAACCAGAUGCUUUUUGUCUAAGCAGGUGAGGUUUCAGCUUCAUCUUGGGCCAAGUGAUUAUCCUGGUGUAACCACAGAGCAGCUAGUCAUGCUGCCAUAGAGACUUGACACAAAAUCCUCUGACUCCCCUGAGCCUCUUGCUGAGAGAAGGGAGAUUGGUGAUAUCUAGUCUGUGUCACUGCACAGGGCAAACUCUAUCAGUGGUACAAGUCUUAAAUCACUUACAUGCUUAUGAAAGCCUCAUGCUCAGUGCUGUCAAAUUCUGAAAGACUGUAGGAUGAGAACAGGUGUAUGCUCUGCGUUUUUGGAAAAUUUGUACCAAUUUAUGACAACUGUGUCCUCUUACUCGAGGCUAGGAUUAUAACUCGGCUAAAAUAACAGAGUUUUUUGGCAGCUGGAAAACUUUAAAAUCAUUACUCUUUGCAUGAGGUACCAUUGGAUACUUACAUUACUUGGUGAACGUGUUUAAGUGAUGCCUAUAGAUGUGUGUAUGUAUUUCAUAGGUAUAGUAUGGCUUCUGUGGCUCAGCACUCCAAAGCCUGCUGUUCUUUUCUGAGGCUUAUUUUGGUCAAAGCACUUCAGCAGCUGCAAACUUUGUUAGGAUGCUUGUUGUUCUAGUUGUUCUCAAAUUAGGUUAGUCUUCAGAGCUUUCUCAGAUUUAGGGUAUCCCUUGAACUGCAUUGAUCUCCAUGUGUUGUCCACUACGGGCUGCCUGUUCUGCACAUUGAAGGCAAAGGUUAUAUUUGAGAUUCUAAAUAAAGAUUACUGAGUGGGAUUUUCUGCUAGUUUAACACUGGGCUAACUCUCCCUGUUGAUGUCAGCCGAUGCCUGGACCAGGAGCAUCUGUGCUGACUUCUUCUGAAAAUCACACUCUGGGGAUCUAAUACACAGCUUUACUUCUGAAAAUGUUGACCUCGCUCUGUUAAAAUUCACCAAGGGGACAUCAUGUCCAAAAGUGUCCAACCAGGACAGGUGCCUGUGAUGUCUCCUGCAGAUACAGCCGUACAGCAGUAGUGAGGGUUUCUUUCUGCAACUGUACAGAUUUCCAGAAGAAUGUCUGGCUCAUCAUCAGGGAAAAGAGCAGCAGGGAUGAAAUAACUCUUGGGCAUCUUGUAUACGUCCCAGAGGUUUCCCUUGGGAGGCUUAAAGAAUCUUUUAAAAAGUUGCUGAUCUGAGUAAAAAGACGUAAGGAAACCUAGUGGGUUUUCCUAUUGCACUCUAGUCACUGUAACACUAGCAUUAUGUACAUUAUCCCUGGAAGGGGAGAGCAAAGCCUGAGGGUGGGAUUUUUAACACAGAGUCAAAAAACUCUUUAUCAUGCAGUUUUGUUGAAGCAUUUGAGCAAUCCCAGUGAAGUCAUGCCUUUGUACUUCACUGGACCACGGCCAGAGUGAUUGUGUCUUGCAGGACUGAGAUGUGGGUGGACUGCAGCUUAGGAUGAAACAAAGAGGGACAUCCCCAUCACCUUGCUUUGGGUGAGCUGUAAUUCUUUUUCAAGCGCUGAACUUCACCUUUGGGUUACCUGCGUCUAAUAGUGAUAUUUUGUUAAGAUGAGGGUAAGCACUGUCUCACUCAGAGUGUCAGUUAGGAAGAGUCAUUUGCCCUCCUCUGUGGUUGCAGUGUUAUUUUCCCUUAGUCUGAGAAAGGGGACUGAAUUUUCAGUUAUUGUUGCAUGGUAUCCAUAUGGGAACCAUAACUCUCAGUAGUGGUAGUGCAGAAAAACAUUUUGCACAUGUGUGUACUCUGCAGAGCUAACCUUACAGCCCCUGACAGCAAUCCUUGUGAGACCUUUCCUUUGGGUGGCCUCCUAUCCCUUUUGACAAGUGUAGGAACCUUCUUACCUUCUUUCUGAUAACCUUGAACUUGGUUUACUCUCAUCACUGAAUCACUGGAGUGUUUUUCAUGCAACACACUAGAGAUGCAGUCCCAAUCUCACUGCUUUUUGGUAACUUCUUGGUUUGCUGUGAAAUAGCAUUGAGGUAAUCACUAAAUUUUUUUCCAGCAGCAGGAACCUUGCUGCUCUGACUCUUGGAGUGGUCACAGUCAGGUUUGAGGCUAUCCUACCACCAGGGCACGCUGUUUUGCCCCGUGGAACAUGCAUAGCCAGAGAAGCAUACUACUCAGUGGUCAAGUGGUCAGAGUCAAGCCCUGGUUCAUGGGAGAUGUUUCCACAUGCUGCCAAUGUCCAUAAGGACUCAAACAUAUACUUGCUUACACAGAGAUGCUCUCCUGAAGCAGAGUUGUCAAUCUUUUCUACAGAUACCACAGGAUGCCCUCCUUUAUUCUGCUUCAUGUAACUGGUACUAGAAUGAUAAUUUCCUGAUAAAUGAAGGCACUUAAUCAGUCCUCUUCCCUUGGAAGAAGGACUUUUGGGGAUAUUGUUAUAUCAUUUAAAAUAAUAUUUUGGAAUUUAAGUUUACAUUGCUUUAUUUUUCACUUGAGGUGACUGUAUAUAAAUAUUUUCCUCUAUUUUAUCAUUGCUGAUAAAGUAAGCCUACGGUAUACAGACAAAUAAUUUGCCUUUGAUGUAUUGAAACUGUGAGAUAUAAAGUAGACUUCUCUCUUGUGUCCAUGUUCCUGACUAUAACUCUGUUCUUCUGUGUUUUUAUAAGUUGGAAUAAAUGUUGCUUACGGGCAACAAAGAGCCUGCAAGCUUCCCAAUAAUUUUUAUGUAAUUGAAAUCAAGCAACCCUAGUGAAGGAUCUUACAUAUGUAUAAUGAUAUAUGUAUAUGUACAAACUUUAGAAAGAAAUAAACCAAACGUAUUUCA